UGUGACUGUGCAACCAACAUAGGAUUCAAAACUCAAUACCAGAUGUCACUAGUGUCGCCUAUGUUUACAUCGUGAAACGAGGCGAAAAGGGCGAAACAAAUUGUAGCUAAUUAAUACUUAUAUUCCUGUGAUUUCAUAUACCAAAUUGAGCUUCAUAUAUUAUAUGCAUACUGUCAGUCCAAGCUGGCAGUAAUUCCAACAAGCUUAUUACUUGGCACUCAGUCACUUUCCAUUCAUCACAUCCUCAUGCUGUCAAAAGCCUAAAAUUCUUGUGUGUAUCCCACAUAUCGUGGAAUACAAAUGUGCGGAGACAAGGUAUUUCCCCAUUACUGUUACCACACCAACCACACCACGUCAAAUGCCAUACUAAAUUCAUCACCAUUCGCCCAUAUGAUAAAGGUAAGCAACUAAGCAUGAGUAUCAUCUAUCACCAUGCUACUGCAACACUUAAUGACACUUUCUUUAGCAUCAGGAAAUCUCAACAUGAGGCGUAAUGCUGUUGGUUGCAGUGAUUUCCAUUUUUAUGGUUUUCUAUCAUGAAAAUUUCAGUGUGCUUCUUAGUAGAGGGCUAUAGAGCACGUAAGAGAUCCCUAAGCCAAUGCUGACCUUUGUCUAUGACGGAAGAGUGACUUCCACCAACGUUCUGCUCCAUCCUUAUCUUCCCGACGUACGCUCAUCUAGCUUCACUGCUUUUGCUACUUGUCUUACUUCACCGACGA